rnacentral:rRNA from 1 species
UACGGAGGGUGCAAACGUUGCUCGGAAUCAUUGGGCGUAAAGCGCACGUAGGCGGCGUGAUAAGUUGGGUGUGAAAGCCCUGGGCUCAACCCAGGAAGUGCAUUCAAAACUGUCUCGCUUGAAUCUCGGAGGGGGUCAGAGAAUUCCCGGUGUAGAGGUGAAAUUCGUAGAUAUCGGGAGGAAUACCAGUGGCGAAGGCGCUGACCUGGACGAAGAUUGACGCUGAGGUGGCG